CCUACGGGAGGCAGCAGUGGGGAAUAUUGGGCAAUGGGCGCAAGCCUGACCCAGCAACGCCGCGUGAGGGAAGAAGGCUUUCGGGUUGUAAACUUCUUUUCUCAGGGACGAAGCAAGUGUCGGUUCCUGAGCAAUAAGCCACGGCUAACUACGUGCCAGCAGCCGCGGUAAUACGUAGGUGGCAAGCGUUAACCGGAUUUACUGGGCGUAAAGGGCGUGUAGGCGGGGAGGCAAGUCAGAUGUGAAAACCACGGGCUCAACCUGUGGCCUGCAUUUGAAACUGUGUUUCUUGAGUACUGGAGAGGCAGGCGGAAUUCCUAGUGUAGCGGUGAAAUGCGUAGAUAUUAGGAGGAACACCAGUGGCGAAGGCGGUCUGCUGGAAAGCAACUGACGCUGAGGCGCGAAAGCGUGGGGAGCAAACAGGAUUAGAUAUCCGAGUAGUC
rnacentral:rRNA from 1 species